rnacentral:rRNA from 1 species
AGCAGCCGCGGUAAUUCCAGCUCCAAUAGCGUAUAUUAAAGUUGUUGCAGUUAAAAAGCUCGUAGUUGAAUUUCGGGAUCAAUAUUUCGGUCAUGCCGUUGGUAUGCACUGUUAUCAUUGAUUUCUCACCUUCUAAAGAACCGUAAUGCCAUUAAUUUGGUGUUACGGGGAAUUAGGACUGUUACCUUGAAAAAUUAGAGUGUUUAAAGCAGGCUAACGCUUGAAUACAUUAGCAUGGAAUAAUGAAAUAGGACGUUCGAUCCUAUUUUGUGGUUUCUAGGAUUGACGUAAUGAUUAAUAGGGAUAGUUGGGGGCAUUAGUAUUCAAUUGUCAGAGGUGAAAUUCUUGGAUUUAUUGAAGACUAACUACUGCGAAAGCAUUUGCCAAGGAUGUUUCAUUAAUCAAG